AGCAGCCGCGGUAAUUCCAGCUCCAAUAGCGUAUAUUAAAGUUGUUGCAGUUAAAAAGCUCGUAGUUGAAUUUCGGGGUCAGUAGGUCGGUCGUGCCACUGGUAUGAACUGGUUUUACUGAUUCCUCCCUCUUGAAGAACUGUAAUGCCAUUAAUUUGGUGUUGCAGGGAAUCAGGACUGUUACUUUGAAAAAAUUAGAGUGUUUAAAGCAGGCUUUAGCUUGAAUACAUUAGCAUGGAAUAAUGAAAUAGGACGUUUGAUCCUAUUUUGUUGGUUUCUAGGAUUGACGUAAUGAUUAAUAGGGAUAGUUGGGGGCAUUAGUAUUCAAUUGUCAGAGGUGAAAUUCUUGGAUUUAUUGAAGACUAACUACUGCGAAAGCAUUUGCCAAGGAUGUUUUCAUUAAUCAAGAACGAAAGUUAGGGAUCGAAGACGAUCAGAUACCGUCGUAGU
rnacentral:rRNA from 1 species